GAUGAACGCUGGCGGCGUGCCUAACACGUGCAAGUCGAGCGUGAACCCUGCGAAUGAAACUUCGGUCGAUUUUGCAGGGGGAAAGCGGCGGACGGGUGAGUAAUAGGUAGGAGACCUACCUCAUACAGGGGGAUAGCAUAGAGAAAUCUGUGGUAAUACCCCAUGAGGUUAUAUGAAUAGAGGCAUAUAAUCAAAGCAUAAGCGAUUAUGCGGUAUGAGAGGGGCCUACUGACCAUUAGCUAGUUGGUGAGGUAAGGGCUCACCAAGGCGAAGAUGGUUAGGGGUUUUGAGAGAGAGACCCCCCACAUUGGAACUGAGAGACGGUCCAGACUCCUACGGGAGGCAGCAGUAGGGAAUAUUGGGCAAUGGGCGAAAGCCUGACCCAGCCAUGCCGCGUGAAGGAAGACGGCCUUAUGGGUUGUAAACUUCUUUACUACGCGAAUAGAGGUUAGUACGAGAUACUAAUAGGAAGGUAGUGUAGUAAAAGCACCGGCUAACUCCGUG
rnacentral:rRNA from 1 species